CAUGUUAAAAAGAUAAAAGCUCCGGCGGUGUAAAAUGAGCAUGCGUCCUAUUAGCUAGUUGGUGAGGCAAUGGCUCACCAAGGCUACGAUGGGUAGGGGUUCUUAGUGGAAGAUCCCCCACACUGGCACUGAGAUACGGGCCAGACUCCUACGGGAGGCAGCAGUAGGGAAUAUUGGUCAAUGGGCGAAAGCCUGAACCAGCCAUGCCGCGUGCAGGAUGACAGCUCUCUGAGUUGUAAACUGCUUUUGUACAGGAGCAAAACAAUCCCUGCGGGGGUUCUUGAGAGUACUGUAAGAAUAAGCACCGGCUAAUUCCGUGCCAGCAGCCGCGGUAAUACGGAAGGUGCAAGCGUUAUCCGGUUUUAUUGGGUUUAAAGGGUGCGUAGGCGGCUUAUUAAGUCAGUUGUGAAAUCCUAGUGCUUAACGCUAGAACUGCAAUUGAUACUAUUAGGCUUGAGUUAAGAAUAGGUAAGUAGAAUUUAUGGUGUAGUAGUGAAAUGCUUAGAUAUCAUAAGGAAUACCAAUAGCGUAGGCAGCUUACUGGUCUUUAACUGACGCUGAGGCACGAAAGCGUGGGGAGCAAACAGGAUUAGAUACCCUGGUAGUCCACGCCGUAAACGAUGAUCACUCGGUAUACAUAAAUUUAUGUGUGUCUAAGCGAAAGCGUUAAGUGAUCCACCUGGGGAGUAUACUCGCAAGGGUGAAACUCAAAGGAAUUGACGGGGGUCCGCACAAGCGGUGGAGUAUGUGGUUUAAUUC
rnacentral:rRNA from 1 species